UACGUAGGUGGCAAGCGUUGUUCGGAAUUAUUGGGCGUAAAGGGCGCGUAGGCGGUCUUGUAAGUCAGCUGUGAAAGCCCGGGGCUCAACCCCGGAGGGUCGGCUGAUACUGCAGGACUGGAGUACGGAAGAGGUAGCUGGAAUUCCCGGUGUAGCGGUGAAAUGCGCAGAUAUCGGGAGGAACACCGGUGGCGAAGGCGGUUCUCUGGGCCUGACCUGACGCUGAGGAGCGAAAGCGUGGGGAGCGAACAGG
rnacentral:rRNA from 1 species